rnacentral:rRNA from 1 species
UUAGAAGCAGCCAUCCUUUAAAGAAAGCGUAAUAGCUCACUAGUCCAGUCCUUUUGUGCCGAAAAUUCAACGGGGCUAAACUAAACACCGAAGACACGAAUUCCACGCUUGCGUGGAGUGGUAGAGGAGCGUUCCAGUGGCGCUGAAGCUGACUUGCGAGAGUUGGUGGAGCAGCUGGAAGUGAGAAUGUUGGCAUAAGUAGCAAAAAGACAGGUGAAAACCCUGUCCGCCGAAAAUUCAAGGUUUCCUGGGCAACGACAUUCGUCCCAGGGUUAGGCGAUCCUAAGCCGAGGCCGAAAGGCGUAGGCGAUGGACCAGACGGUUAAUAUUCCGUCCCUAGUAUAUGUUUCCAAUUGCUGACGCAGUUUUAACUGCUUGAACGUUCUUUUGGAAUGGAACGUUUGCGCUAAGGACCGGCCUCCGCCGGUUCAGAGCGUGAAGAGAAGAAACCUUUGGGUGGAUUCAAUUCAGGCGCGCGAACUGCCUAGAAAAGGCAUGAGGUUAUAUGCAUAUACUAAUCGUACCGCAAACCAACACAGGUGAAUAGGUCGAGAAGACCAAGGCGAACAAGAGAACCCUCGUUUAGGAACUCGGCAAAACAGCGACCGUAACUUAGGGAUAAGGUCCGCCCCCUUUGGGGGGCCGCAGCUAAAGCUUUCAAGCGACUGUUUACCAAAAACAUAGGUCCCUGCUAAACCGCAAGGUGAUGUAUAGGGGCUGAUGCCUGGCCAGUGUCCGAACGUUAAGGUGAUGAGUUUACGCUUUGAACCGAAGCGCGGAUGAACGCCAGCAAUAACUAUAAUUGUUCUAAGGUAGCGAAAUUCCUUGUCGGGUAAGUUCCGACCCGCACGAAUGGCAUAACGACUUGAAAACUGUCUCAACGAGGGACUUGGCGAAAUUGCGAGAUGAGUGAAGAUGCUCAUUACCCAUGGUUAGACGAAAAGACCCCGUGAAGCUUUACUACAGCUUGGUAUUGAUAUAUAGAUUUUUGUGUUUAGCAUAGGUGGGAGACUCUGAAGCUCUGGCGCCAGCCGGAGUGGAGUCGAAAUAUGAAAUACCACCCUCAUACAUUUGUAUAUCUAACUGCUUGCCGUCAUCCGGCAGCAGGACAGUAUCUGGUGGGUAGUUUGACUGGGGCGGUGGCCUCCUAAAAGAUAACGGAGGCGUUUACAAAGGUUGGCUAGCGCUGGAUGGAAAUCAGCGUGAUAGGGCAAACCCAUAAGCCAGCUUUACUGCAAGGGCGACCACCCGAGCAGUUGCGAAAGCAGAAGUUAGUGAUCCGACCGUACGAUAU